rnacentral:rRNA from 1 species
GAUGAACGCUGGCGGCGUGCCUAAUACAUGCAAGUCGAGCGAACAGACGAGGAGCUUGCUCCUCUGACGUUAGCGGCGGACGGGUGAGUAACACGUGGAUAACCUACCUAUAAGACUGGGAUAACUUCGGGAAACCGGAGCUAAUACCGGAUAAUAUAUUGAACCGCAUGGUUCAAUAGUGAAAGACGGUUUUGCUGUCACUUAUAGAUGGAUCCGCGCCGCAUUAGCUAGUUGGUAAGGUAACGGCUUACCAAGGCAACGAUGCGUAGCCGACCUGAGAGGGUGAUCGGCCACCCUGGAACUGAGACACGGUCCAGACUCCUACGGGAGGCAGCAGUAGGGAAUCGUCCGCAAUGGGCGAAAGCCUGACGGAGCAACGCCGCGUGAGUGAUGAAGGUCUUCGGAUCGUAAAACUCUGUUAUUAGGGAAGAACAAAUGUGUAAGUAACUAUGCACGUCUUGACGGUACCUAAUCAGAAAGCCACGGCUAACUACGUG